AGAAUCUUUUACAAAUUUCUAAAACCUUCUAAAUACUUGUAGAAUCCUUCAAAUCUUUUAGAAAGUUCCAUAGGCUUUGAAAAGCCUCAUUAGACUUCUAGAAGCUUCUUUAGACUUCUAAAAACUUUCAUAGAAAGUUGUCACGGACACAAAAUACAGACUUGAAAUCUAACAAGAAGUUCAAGAAGAAGUGGCAGAACUAGAUUAAACAGAUGAGUACAAGAACAACACCAGAAAGGUGAGCUAGAACUCCAAGAG
rnacentral:lncRNA from 1 species